rnacentral:rRNA from 1 species
CUACGCACUCCUACGGGAGGCAGCAGUGGGGAAUAUUGCACAAUGGGCGCAAGCCUGAUGCAGCCAUGCCGCGUGUAUGAAGAAGGCCUUCGGGUUGUAAAGUACUUUCAGCAGUGAGGAAGGUGGGUAUGUUAAUAGCAUAUUCAUUUGACGUUAGCUGCAGAAGAAGCACCGGCUAACUCCGUGCCAGCAGCCGCGGUAAUACGGAGGGUGCGAGCGUUAAUCGGAAUUACUGGGCGUAAAGCGCAUGCAGGUGGUUUGUUAAGUCAGAUGUGAAAGCCCCGGGGCUCAACCUCGGAAUUGCAUUUGAAACUGGCAAACUAGAGUACUGUAGAGGGGGUAGAAUUUCAGGUGUAGCGGUGAAAUGCGUAGAGAUCUGAAGGAAUACCGGUGGCGAAGGCGGCCCCCCUGGACAGAUACUGACACUCAGAUGCGAAAGCGUGGGGAGCAAACAGGAUUAGAUACCCUGGGAG